CCUUGCCAUACCCCCACCCACCUACAAAUAUAGAUAGAUAGAUAUAGAGAGAGUCUCUCUGUCAAGUAGAAGAGAGAAGAGAAAAUUUCUUUGGGAUAAUAGGGUUGCAGAAUAUGCAGAGGCUGGCCCUUGUCAUACUUUUCCACAGCUUUCUUGAACUGCAUAUAAUUGUAUGGACAAAACCCAUUUGCAGUUCAAUUAAGCUGUGGGAAGAUAUGGAGAGAGUCAUAUGGGAAUUCAUUUUCAGGAUCAGAUUCACUACAGCAUGGUAUUUUUAGACAAUAUUGUUUUCUGCCCAGUGGAUCUUCAUUAUAAUUUCAUUUCUAUGUUAAUUUCAUGCUGAUUUUAUCUUUUUACAUACAUGAUUAGUUUUCUUCUAUUGGAUAUUCAUUUCUAUGUUAAAUUGAAUGGGAUGUUACCUUUCUACUUGCAUGAUUGUGUAACUGUUUACAGAUCUACUGACAACCUUCUCGAAAUUACUGUGUUUCAUAUGGUGAAACCCAAGAGACAUUGACUAUUGUGUUUUGGCUGUUUGUAGAUGCACUUUUGUCUAUAUUAUUUUGUAGAUUUAAAUGAAUCUGUUUUAAAAAAUCACAGAGAUAACAAUUCUUUGAAAUCAUGCUAUUUUGCAUCCAGAUCUCUGCAUUCAAUGAGGAAGUAAUAAGUUUUCAACAAUUACUCGAAAUCUCCCAAUUAUCGUAUUUUCCAGCAGUCACUAGUAUUCCCCUCGUUUUAACUUAAGAAGUUUUUAGCAACCUUUUCUAUGCAUACUUCCAUUUUCUAUUUUCAGUAUAAGCAAAAGAUUAAGAGUAAGUUUUCUGUAUAUUUCUUUAUUAGUCAUGUUUUAAUUAGGAAAAAAGGGUUUCCAUAUACAAUGUUUCUGAAUAAUUUCGAGUUACAGAAUGUUAUGUGGACCACAGGUUUAAUUGCAUUAUCUUCCUCAUAUGCAACACGUCUCCCUCCACACAAACUGUAAUUUAAACAGCCAUUUAUGUAAAUUUUUUAAAGUAUGCCUUAAGAAGAGGACGCAAAAAAGUUGUCAUCCAGUCUAUUGAAGGGUGGUCCAAAUCCUGCAAAUUUCACCUUGGCAAAGAAAAAAACAGUCAUAAUUUUGCAGAAGUAAACUAGGGCUUCCCAUUCACUAUGAUAUGGACUUCAAUGUAAAGAAGAAACAUAGAAUUACAGUGCAUUCUUGUUCAGCCGUGCUUAGAUUUUUAAUGUUGAUUGUAUCUCGAAUGGAGCUAUCGUUCUUAGGAUCUGCGUUUUUCAAUUACAGAACAUUUCCGAACAUGGACCAGCACCACCGGCUAAGUGUAUCGAUCCAAUAGGGAAAAUAUAAGGUCUAUUCUCAACCAAAUUGUCAUCAUAAUGAAUAAUUAAUCAAAAAUAACGCGAAUUAUAUAUUAAUACACCUAGUAAUCUUCAUGAAUCUGAGUUAUUUGUAACAGGAUAAACUUUAAAAAUUGCACAUACAAAUUUAGCUAGAUUCAGCUUCUGCCAGUUGAGCCGAAUGUUCUAUAUAUGAUUUGUCAGGAUUUUCAACGUGUUCUGAUUUUUGGAAUAACUUCUCCAUCUUAAGUUAUUGUAAAAUUGUUUAGUGUUAUACUUUUCGCUGAACGAUUCUUUAAUUUACUGAAGAUUACCUUUAUUUGCUUUAAGAUUCUUUAUAUAUGAGAAGUAAAUUGUCUUCUCUGUCACUCGAAAAUCCUGGAAUGUGCCUAAGUUUUCAUCGUUAUUCUUUAAUACAAUUUGAAGGAAGUUUAAUUUUUCUUGCAUCGAGAUUCUUCAUAUAAUUAGCAGUAACUUUCUUCUUUCCUGCUAUAGAAUUAAUGCCUUUCUAUCUUCUUUUUGUGAUGUAACUGUCUGUACUCCCUCAGAGGCAUCAAUGAAUGAACGGAAUGAAAAUUGAUUUGUGUAGUCGACCAUCAAAUUUAGUGAGAACAACGUUAAGAUUUUAAUUUGUUAUUGAUUGGUGGGUCAAGUUAUUGAUUUUCAACUGAAGAGUUGAUUUCAAGUCAUAAAGAUAGGCAUUUAUUUCCCUGAUGCGUUACAGAUUUGUGCUUUUGGCUCCAAAAAUUUAAGGAUGAUGUUACAUCAGAGUGUCCAU
rnacentral:lncRNA from 1 species